rnacentral:rRNA from 1 species
GCCCUUAGAGUUUGAUCCUGGCUCAGGACGAACGCUGGCGGCGCGCCUAACACAUGCAAGUCGAACGAGCGAGAGAGAGCUUGCUUUCUCGAGCGAGUGGCGAACGGGUGAGUAACGCGUGAGGAACCUGCCUCAAAGAGGGGGACAACAGUUGGAAACGACUGCUAAUACCGCAUAAGCCCACGGGUCGGCAUCGACCAGAGGGAAAAGGAGCAAUCCGCUUUGAGAUGGCCUCGCGUCCGAUUAGCUAGUUGGUGAGGUAACGGCCCACCAAGGCAACGAUCGGUAGCCGGACUGAGAGGUUGAACGGCCACAUUGGGACUGAGACACGGCCCAGACUCCUACGGGAGGCAGCAGUGGGGAAUAUUGCACAAUGGGGGAAACCCUGAUGCAGCGACGCCGCGUGGAGGAAGAAGGUCUUCGGAUUGUAAACUCCUGUUGUGAGGAAGAUAAAGACGGUACUCAACAAGGAAGUGACGGCAACUCU